rfam:Biomphalaria glabrata isolate BB02 unplaced genomic scaffold LGTN_random_Scaffold9570, whole genome shotgun sequence.
UAGCUGAGAGGUAAAGCGCUUGGCUUCCGAACCGGGGGCCCCGGGUUCGAAUCCUGG